UACGGAGGGUGCAAGCGUUAUCCGGAUUCACUGGGUUUAAAGGGUGCGUAGGUGGGUUGGUAAGUCAGUGGUGAAAUCUCCGGGCUUAACCUGGAAACUGCCAUUGAUACUAUCAAUCUUGAAUACCUUGGAGGUGAGCGGAAUAUGUCAUGUAGCGGUGAAAUGCUUAGAUAUGACAUAGAACACCAAUUGCGAAGGCAGCUCACUACACGGUCAUUGACGCUGAGGCACGAAAGCGUGGGGAUCAACAGG
rnacentral:rRNA from 1 species